CUCUAUUGAAAAAACCAUGUGUUGAUGCAUAUCUCUCUGCUAAUUAAAGUUUUCAUCUUCUACAAAGAACAAGGUAAAGCAAGAAAGCCAAGUAUCUUUCUUUCUCCGUCUCUGUGUGUUGUUAGUUACUUUUCCACUAUUUUAUUAGUAGCUAUUACCUCUUAUCAGUAUAGCUAUAAUUACUUCUUUCUCUAUAUUUUUUUCUAGUUGUUUAUCCCAUUUCAAAAAUUAAGUUCCAUUUUUUCCCUAGUUGUAUGUUGUGGUUGUUUGUUCCUUCUACUCUGAUUCUACUACUUGUGAGAUUGUUAUUUACUGCAUAUUAAAUAGAAGUGGAGGUUUUGAAGGGAUUGAGAACCAUGCUUAGAGAAUAGAGAGAAAUAAAGAUAAGUUAAAAUGAUUGCUUUUUGUUUUACCAUUAAUUACUGCACUUGAUGUUGUUAUUUGGCUGAAAAUCUCCGCUUAUGGGAGAAAACAUGUUGUCUCACACAGUAUAUGAGUAAUGAAUUCAUGUUAACGUUUCAUUUUGGUGUUGAGGUAGUCGAUUUUAGGAAUCAAUUAUUGGUUAAUUAAUUGCCUAUAAUAUAUGUUAUGGGGUUUUCUGAGCUUUAAAUUAAGGGUCCAUGCAAAUUUUCUGUCAACCUUUGAAGCCUUGAGUAUAUAUAUAAGAUGUAGUUUUCUGAUCUACCAAUAUAUAAACUUAUAAGUUUGGCGAUAAGCGUAUAUAAAAGAGAGUGUGUGUGUGGCUUAAUAAUAAUAAGAAUAAUAAUAAUCAUUCUCUUUCUACUUAGCAGCUGGAUUAAUGAAUAACAAGUGGGAUUUAUUACUCGAUGGCAAGGACUAUAAAGCCUGUAGUAGGGUGUUUCCCAGGAGUGAUCAAAGGGAAGAGAGGACAAUUUGAAGCAUUUCAGGUUAGCUUAUUUCCUUGUUUUCUUGUUUUUUUUUACCUGGUCAUGGUUCCUUUUCUGAAGAUUGUUGUUGGGUAAUUCAAAUUUAUUGAAAUUGGCCUAUGAAUUACGUAGACAUGCCAGUUUUUCGGUGGUUAAGUUUGCUGAGACAUGGAGCAAGAACCCUAUCUGAUUAGCUGUAACUAGAAAAUGAAAAUGACAUCCUUUAAUCGUUUUUACUCUCUUUGUAAUACAAUAACAACAACAAAACAACCAGUGUAAUCCCACAAGUGAGAUCUGGAGAGGGUAGUAUGUACGUAGACUUGGAGAGCAUAGUGUGUACGUAGUAGCAGGGGGUACUUCAUUAAAGGGUCGAAAAAUUACACUGCAUAUAUAUACAUAUAUAUACAUAUAUAUACAUAUAUAUAUAUACCGGGUGUCCGAGUCUUUAAGAGCUCCAACUAAUCUCAGGGGUGUACAGGCCCUCGGCAAGGAGUUUCCCGCAAGCGCAAGGAGUUUCCCGCAAGCGCAACAGGGUUAAUUCCGAAGGCCCUUAGAAAUUAUUUGCACCCACUGCGUUUCGAACUUGAGACCUUGAAAGGGAGCAAACCCCAAGGCUCAAGUCAAUUGCCACCAUGCCAACUCCUGAGGGUUACACUGCAUAUAUAGGUAAAAUAUAGGCUUUAUAGGUAUAUAACAUAUAUUGAACACUUUUUGUCGGAGAAUUUUGUUCACCUUUUCCAAGUUUGAACACACUUGAGGAAAUUUCUGGCUUCGGCACUGCGUAGUAUACCUUACCCCCACCUUGAAGGUAGAAAGGCUGUUUCCGAUAGAUUUUUCCUCCUUGUAAUAAUUAUAGAAGUUAAAACAAUCUGGACAGAAAGUAUGUUGCUGUUUAAAAAUUAUGUGGUAUUGCAUACUGAUUGCUGAGAAUCAUUGCCUCGUUGAAGAUUUUGAGACUUGGGUCUUGGAUCUUCACUAACUUUUUGCUUGAAGUCUGCAGUUUCUUGGGUGAUUCAUUGAAAAAGGAUAAUUAUCAUUAAUAAAAGGAAUCAUGAUUUGCAGUUGUCAAUCCAACAAAAUUCAGAAAAUGCUCUAUGCCCUAACCAACUACAAAAUUAAAGGUGGCAAGGGCUGUAAUUCCUUUUGCUGAUCCUUUUGUCAGCACAGUGUAGUUUCGUUUCUUUAUCCUUCCUCCUGUGAUGUGAUUCUUGUAUGUGAGACACUGUACAGUUAAUUCGUCGUCAUCUUGAAACACAGAUUAUGAUUAAUUAAUCCCAUCCUUUUGGUUUCACCGGUUAAGUCACCAGUGGACUGAGUUUGCCACCAUAGCUUCAUGUGAGGGCUGCGCUUACUCUUACUGGUUUUAGACGACUUACACCUCUUCGCAUAAACUCAAAUGCCAACAUAAACAAGCCAAAAAAGAACACCAAGAAUAUCUGGAGCCUUGCUACAAUGUCAACCAUGACAGACACAUUGCUUCCCUCGGGAGAACUUUUUCUUGUAGGUGGGGUUAUACUCCAUCCUGAUACAGACAAUCAACUAUUAGAGUGAUGCAACUUAACCAAUAAGCUUAAAACAAAUAACGGGACUUGUGAUUCAUGGAAGUAUUUUGUGUCGUUCGCGCUCGUUACCAUAUUACAUUGUCAUUACCAUUGUUUGCUACUUGGUUGUUUUAUCCUAUCUCCACUGUUCUUUGCGCCGAGCAUCUAUCGGAAACAACCUCUAUCUUUAUAAGGUAGGGGUAAGGUCUCUCCCCAGACCUCAUUUAUGGGAUUGCACUGGGUCGUUGUCAUUCUUGUUGUUGUUGUUAUUGUUGUUAGUGAUUCAUGGAAGUUUAUACAUCCUACAGAGACAUUUUCCCUCUAUCUCCCCCUAUUCCAAAUAGUCUAGUUCAUUAUGCAGCCUUUUUCUUGGAAGAGUAGGUAAGAAAACAGAUAUAAGUACUUACCGGUGCUUUUCUUGGGCAAAUUUGUCCAGUCAUACGGGCUAAUCUUACUUGAAGAUGCCUUGAUCAACUCAAGAAGUGCGUCAUUGACCUAAAAUUUUUAUAAUCGUCAUAUACUUCCAUUAACAAUUAGCAUACAUAUGACUCCAGCCACACAAAUGCCAAUAGAUUGGACAUAUCUAAAAUUUUGUAUAUGCUGAUAAUCGUCAUAUACUUUCCAUUAACAAUCAGCAUACAUAUGACUAAAGCCACACAAAUGCCAAUAGAUUGGACAUGUCUAAAAUUUUGUAUAUGCUGAUUGACUCAUAAAUAUUGAAGUGCAAUAUAAUAAUUUCAUUUGAUCAUGAUAUCCAUGUGAAUGUUUGAUUCUCCUAUUUAUUUUAUCUUUUUCAAGAACCGACAAGUUGUCUGCUGUCGAAACAUUCAUUGAUGUUCUGCAUGACACCACAGGCCCUAGCUCUGAAAACAAAAAUGAAAAGAGAAAUACCUGCUAGAUCUAAACAGUCUGCAUUGUAUAAAAUACCCUCUCACUUGCUAAAAAACCAAAAGCAAUAAAAAUACUCAGGUACCUGAACACUUGGAAUAAUUAUCAGAUUAUAGUGUCCAGUGUGCUUGAAAGGAUUCUAGUAUGCGUUGACCCAUUUUCAACCCGUUUAAACAUGGGUAGGUAGAGUAAGGUUUUGUUACGGGCGGGUUGGGGGGGGUUAAAGCAAUUUGGGUGAAAUUUGGUAUUUAUGUGGUGUUCACAGAUACAUUGCACAAAUCAUUUAAAGCCACAGGAGAGUACAAAAACUUUGAGAAUCUCAUAGGGUAUUAUGCAUUUCAAAAUGUUCUAUUAGUGACUCCACCAAAAGGUUGAUUUUGGCCUAUUAGUGACUCCGCCCAGUGCCAAGUCAUUGAUUUUUUACAGCGGCCAACUGAUCCUCAGAAUCACUAGAAAAUUGCAGAUCAAUAGUUCUUAGAUGAGACCCAUUCCCCCAGCUCUUUGGAGCAAAUUCACAAUAUAUUAUAUAGAAUCAGAUGCUUUCUUGACCUAUAUCUUAGUAUGCAACUUUUACCUGAUAUGCAGAGCACCUAUGGUUCUGUCACUAUUAGAAUAAUAGAUGCAUAUAAUAAUACCUCUUCUGUCCUUUCAUGACUAACGAGAUGUCCUCCAGGAAGCUCUACCAUUCUAGCAUACGGAUGUAAUUUCUUCGCAAGACUCUUCGCGUGGCUUAAUUGAGCAAUGACGUCGUCCCUACACAGAAGAAAUAUUGAUUUAAAAUCUGGAUAACCUUUCAAAAGAAACGGAUUUACAUCUAAACAAUAUUUCUGGCUGUUUGAGAUUGUAUCUGUAGUGGAUAAUGCCUUCAAAUUACAGAUGAAUAUACCUGCCAUGAAUAACAGAUAUGAGGAACCCAGCAGAGCAGAUAGAUUCAAGAUCAGCCCGCGAUAGCUUAUGAGUCCAGCAAGCAUUUAUCUGCCCAUCAAAUCCACAAUUUGACUGCAUCCCAGAUGCUGCUAUGCCUUUGAAGUAUUCCUGCCACCCAAAAAAAGACCCCAGUGAGCACCUUAGUAUUGUUUCUUGUAGAUUACAAGAUAAAAAGAUGCCCAAAGAAACAUCUAGAACAUAAUGUGCUUAGGUCACUCACUUGAUAUAAUAUUGCUCUUCGGGUUUUAGUUCCCACAUAUUCCUCGAGGUAUUCCUGUAAAGUAAAAAACACAGAUAUGUUAGUUACAAAUCAUUCCCUGGCCAUGAAAAAUGGUAUCUUAUUACAUCUUUAUAUCUAGUCAUGGUCAACCAACUCAAUCAGCAAUCUUAUAAAAAAUAAUGCACAUGAAACCGUGUUUAGACAUGGCAUGUUCAUGCAUCUUUUGAGAAGGAAGGAAGUGAAGCCUCUUAUUUGUCAACACUAUUAAAUGAACAAUUAAUCAACCUUUGAGUAGUGGGUGUCUAAAUCAACAGCAGCCCUCUGCUCAGGAGUUUUUGCCUUCAAAAAGCGGACUGCAAUAGAUAGAGUUUGACGAUCGAGCUGCAGCAAAAAAAGACCAUAUGAGCACGAGAAUAAACACAAUAACGCUUUCUUUGAUUCAAGUAUGCAAUGAGCAACAGGCAGAGGAGGCGUUGUGUUUUAAGGUACAACAUGAAUUUAGCUUGCAUCUAUUUAAUGCAAUUAUCAGAAUCAUUAAUUUUACAGGAUCUUACUCAACACAAUAAUUUAUUUUAGUUAUGCAAACAUGGUGACCAUUUCUUUAGUCUUCAGAUCAACUGCUUGACUCUACGAGCAUCCAGAAAAGUUGGUGGGACUAGGAAGUAUAUUGGAUGGCCGUACCACCUACCAAACUACCAAAGCAGCAGGUUGACAUGCAGCAUUUCACUGGAUUAAGGCGUUGAGUAUCUCCUGGGUCCUUCGAGAGCAUGAAGUAGAGGUAGAGUAGGAUUACCUAAUCUACAAAUAUAUACCAUAUUUCUGAUAUUUAUAUAUCUCAUUUGGAAGCAUGAGCAUGCAAGCUCCGACUUUCCUCGCAUGUGGGAUUGCUACUACAAUACUGUAGUUGUAAGCGUUUGCAUCUUGAUAUUUCUACAUCUCAUUAUAAUUAAUUCAAUUGCAGGGGGAAAUCAAGUGAAUAUAUGCUACUGAUUGUUACCAUAAAAACCAGCCCUCCCUCCCGCCN
rnacentral:lncRNA from 1 species